GACGAACGCUGGCGGCGUGCCUAAUACAUGCCAGUUGAGCGCUGAAGGUUGGUACUUGUACCAACUGGAUGAGCAGCAAACGGGUGAGUAACGCGUGGGGAAUCUGCCUUUGAGCGGGGGACAACAUUUGGAAACGAAUGCUAAUACCGCAUAAAAACUUUAAACACAAGUUUUAAGUUUGAAAGAUGCAAUUGCAUCACUCAAAGAUGAUCCCGCGUUGUAUUAGCUAGUUGGUGAGGUAAAGGCUCACCAAGGCGAUGAUACAUAGCCGACCUGAGAGGGUGAUCGGCCACAUUGGGACUGAGACACGGCCCAAACUCCUACGGGAGGCAGCAGUAGGGAAUCUUCGGCAAUGGACGAAAGUCUGACCGAGCAACGCCGCGUGAGUGAAGAAGGUUUUCGGAUCGUAAAACUCUGUUGGUAGAGAAGAACGUUGGUGAGAGUGGAAAGCUCAUCAAGUGACGGUAACUACCCAGAAAGGGACGGCUAACUACGU
rnacentral:rRNA from 1 species